rnacentral:rRNA from 1 species
UGCGUAGGUGGCGCUGUAAGUGGGGUGUGAAAUCCCGGGGCUUAACCCCGGGACUGCAUUCCAUACUGCGGUGCUUGAGGACUGGAGAGGAGACUGGAAUUUACGGUGUAGCAGUGAAAUGCGUAGAGAUCGUAAGGAAGACCAGUGGCGAAGGCGGGUCUCUGGACAGUUCCUGACACUGAGGCACGGAGGCCAGGGGAGCAAACG